rnacentral:rRNA from 1 species
UGGGGAAUAUUGGACAAUGGGGGCAACCCUGAUCCAGCGAUGCCGCGUGAGUGAAGAAGGCCCUCGGGUUGUAAAACUCUUUCACCUGUGACGAUAAUGACGGUAGCAGGAGAAGAAGCACCGGCUAACUCUGUGCCAGCAGCCGCGGUAAGACAGAGGGUGCUAGCGUUGUUCGGAAUGACUGGGCGUAAAGGGCGCGUAGGCUGUUAAUCAAGUUAGGUGUGAAAGCCCCGGGCUUAACCUGGGAACUGCAUUUAAUACUGGUUGACUGGAGAGCGAGAGAGGAAAGCGGAAUUCCUAGUGUAGAAGUGAAAUCUGUAGAUAUUAGGAGGAACACCAGAGGCGAAGGCGGCUUUCUGGCUCGCAACUGACGCUGAGGCGCGAAAGCGUGGGGAGCAAA